rnacentral:ncRNA from 1 species
UAUGCGAUGAAAGUUGCACGUACGGUUCGGAGGGGGGGACACUGACCACAGGAGGGCAAACCUUAUUUAGGCAUCUUCUACGGUAAUAAACCGGGUCUCUACCCUACAAAAAUAGGAUAAAAAAGAUAUGGAUUGUAGCCUGAAAUUCGGCUGCAUGAAUAAGAAAUUGCUAGUAAUCGUGAAUCACUAUGUCACGGUGAAUAUAACCUUGGAUUGGUACUAACCACUCGUCACAUGCUGAAAGGAGUACGUGCAAUAAGUUUGCUUUCUUAUUUUAAUCCAGCGAAUAAUAGGAUUCGGGUUUUUUUAUAAGGUUCUUCGUAUGCGCGAUUCUAAUUGGUGUUAAGUCGAAAUACGGUUCAUGUAGUGGAAGUUGCAUGGGAUUGAUUGACCUU